UCCCCCUGCCCCGGGGCCGCUCCCCCGGGGACCUCCCGCCCGCCGCGGCCCCGCCCAACGAGCGCGGCUGCAGCGGGACGAGCCGCUCCGGGCCGGGCGCUGGCGCCGAGGCCGCUGCUGCUGCUCUUGCUCUCACUGUGCCCGCUGCGGGACCGGGGCCUCGCCGGGGCUCGCUGCUGCUUGAGCCGCUCAUCCCGCAACUGCCGCCUGAGACCUGAUGCUCUCCUUCCCCCCCCCCCCCCCCCCCCGCUGCUUUCUCUGGGGCUGGUAUGCUCCAAUGCAAAAACUGGCUUUAAAAGUCCAGUGAAAAAUGUUUCUUCUUUAUUUCCAGAGCACAGGACAUCCUGAGUGGGAAUGGAUACACAAAGACCACCAAGUCGCACCCUUAUGUGAAUGGCUCCUCUGGCGAUUGAACCCACACCUGGGCACUCUCAGCACCCUGCUCCAGCCAAGCCAAUCUCAGCUCCUGGCAAUGUCCUGCCUGGGAUAGGAAUGCCAAGUGCCAGCAAGGUCAUUCCUAUGCAAAUACAGCUCCUUCUUUUAUGCUAAUGCUGCUUUCCACACCAGCCCCUGCAAUGGCCCCAGGGCGGAGCUCCAUGGCCAGCACCUGAUCAUGCAACAACACAGGUGCCCUGGGGAUGCCAGGGAGGUGCCUUUGCCCACAGUGCCUUUCUCCUGCCCCUCUCCAGCCCGAGGCCUCUUCUCCCUUCCCUGCCAGCUGCUGCCAAAGAAGGAGGACACAGUGAGUGCUGAGUUGACCUCCAAAUAGUCCUUCCCUCACCUUGAGAUGACCUGAGAUUUUACCCCCAAAAUGUCCCCAUCUGUCUCCUUCUGAGUUCCUCAUUUUUUACAAGGAAGCAUUCUUUCUCUGCUCUGGAGACUACCACAAGAUUUGCCCCCAAAACUUUCCCCACCUGUCCACUACCUCUUUCCUCAUUUCCACCUCAAUCUUUUCAUUCUUUGCCCUACAGAUGCUUUCAAUUUUUACCCCUCCGAACUUCCCUACCUGUCCAUAAGUGAUUACCUCAGUUUACCCCAUCAAGUGCAUUCUCUCUGCUACAGAUCACCUCAGAUUUUACCCCCAAAAUUUUCUGUACGUCUCCACCACUGAGUACUUUAUUUUUACCUCCAAAUACUCAUUUUCUACCAUGGAGAUUCCCUCAAGUUUUACCCGCCAGAUUUACCCACCUGUCCACAGCAAUUCCUUCAGUUUACCUCAGGAUGCUCCUCUCUCUCCUAGAGAUGACCUCACAUUUUACCCCCUCAGUUUUCCCUACCUGCCCAGUUCUGAUCACCUCCUUUUUACCUCAAAACAUGAGUUCUUUCUUCUACAGAUGAACUCGGAUUUUAUUGCCAAAAUGUCUCUUUUGUCCCCUGUACACUGACAAGAUUUUAAAACCAAAACCAGGCAGGUUAUGUCUGUCUUACCCCCAAAAUGUUCAUUCUGUCCCCUACAAAUUAGCUCAGAUUUUUUCUCAAAACCACUUAUGGUUCCUACAUAAUUACCUCAGGGUUUGCCCCCCACAUUCUACCUCAUCUUGACUACUGAUCACCUCAUUGCUUCCUCAGUAUGUUCAUUCUUUGCCCUACAGAUCUUCCCAAGUUUUACACCCCAAAUUUCCUUGCCUAGCCCCAGUGAUUGCCUCAGUUUAUGUCAGUGGUCACACUCUCCCUAGAGAUUACCUCAAGUUUAACCCCCAAAAUUUUCCUUAACUGUCCCCAAUUUAUUACCUCAUUUUUACCAAAAAAGAUUCAUUCUCAACCUUUAGAUUAUUUCAAGUUUGACCCCCCAAAAUUCCCCUACCUGUCCACUACUGAUUCCCUCAUUCUUCCUUCAAUAUUUAUUUCCUUUCUACCAUGUAGCUUCUAUCAAGAUUUACCCCCAAAGUUUUCCAUCUGUCUACUACUGCUUACCUCAUUUUUACCUCAAAAUGUUCUUUCUACAGCUUAUUUAAUAUUAUUUUUACACAAGUUUCCCUAUCUGCCCACAACUGAUUCCCUCAUAUUACCUCAGUGUGUUCAUGCUCUCCCCUAGAGAUUAGUUCAGAUUUAGCCCCCAAAUUUUCCCCACAUGCUCAGUACUCAUCACCUCAUUUUUCCCUCCAAGUGUUCAUUCUCUGCUCUUGAGACUUUGUCAAGUUUUGCCUCCAAACUUUUCCUUCUUUGUCUACUACUGAGUACCUCAUUUUUACUCCAAAAUAUUCAUUCUGUCCCCUACAGAUUACAUCAGGUUUUACCCCCCAGUUUUUCCUUCCUGUACAAUAUUAACUCUUUUCUGCCCCAAAAAUGUGCAUUCUCUCCCCUAAACAUCACCUCAGCUUUUCCCUCAAAAAUGCCACCUUGCUCCACUUGACAUCCCCUCCCAUUUUCCUACACAAACAGUUCUUGUGUCCCCUCUCAGUCACCCCAGGUUUUCAGCUAAAAAUGUCUCCUCUGUCCCCUUGAAGUUAUCCCAGGUUUUCCCAGUGAGGAGCUGCAAGGAAUUCAGGCAGGGCCAAUGACACCAGGGAACAGCUGUAAAUUCAGAGGCAGAGAGAGAAGAUCUACCAGGAAAGGGGAAAGGUUCAGAAAACAUUACUGCAAUCAAUUAAUUAAUUAAUUAUUAUCUCCAGUUCCCCACUGAGAAGAACACAACCUCACAGCUGUUAAGGCCUGACAGUUCCCUGCAGGGAGAGCUCAGCACAUGUGCCCAGAGGCAAUCCCAGCAUCUGAAAGAAAGAAAGAAGCAGCAAAAGGUGAUUGCUUCUCUUUCAAAGUUAUUUCAAGUGCUCACACCCAAACCCACCUUUGCUCUUGAUUCUGGCCGGGUGCAUGGUGAGCAGUAGGCACAGGUCAUGUCAUCCAUGCUGGUGUGAGUGAUGCUUUCUGGGGGAAAGCAGCUGAUCUCCAAAGUUCCCUUCCUGCCCCGUGCCUGAUCUGCACAGGAGAAAACCUCUUCCAGGAAGGGAUUGUGCUCCCUCUAAUCCCAUUUGCCCAGUCUGUUCCAUGGGGAUAUUGCCAGCCUGGGGCAGCAGAGGCACACGCAGCUCUCAGCACUCUCUGCUCCAAGCACAGCUCUGGGCUCCUUUGCAGACUGCCUCUGCUGUGGGGUUUUCCUCCAGGAGAAGCCAAGCAAUUGCUCAUGGAAGGGUGGAGAUUAAGUUAUCCCAAAGGGAAGCAAAGAGUUAAGUACUCCAGGAAGAGCCCUUGGCAUCUGCUGGGCUGAGGUGGGAAGGGGACAUUCAUUCCCUGCAGGGCCAAUACACAACAACCUCCAACCCAAAGCACAGACUGGCAGGUGGGGUCUGACAGCACCACUCUGACAAACCUCCUUGUCAUUCUUCCCUGCAGUGACUUUUGCAAGCAAACUCUGAAGCUGACAAGCCCAGAAGCUCCAUCCAUCCACUCUGGAAGGAAAGGAUACUCCCAGGGAUGAGGCACAUUCCCAGCAAACUCUCCCAACCCAGCCUGGAGGCAGCGCUGGAGCUCGGCUGUGGGGCUGGGAAGGGCUGCCAGGAGCACGCAGCCCCCAGGUGGGGUGGCAGCGGCAGCAGCAAAUUCCCACAGGCUGAUGGCACAACAGAGAGACAAAGGCCAGCAGUGCCCAUGGGAGGUGCAGGGUUAAUUCUGCUCCCUGCCCUGCCCCAUCCCCGCAGGAAAUCUCCAAGGGGGAGAGAAACUCUCAGGGUGCCCAAAAUGCAGCAUCUGUCACCCUGAUCCCGCUUCAACUCAGCGUGGGGGGCCAAACUCCCCCCACAGGUAAACACUGAGCUGACCUGGUCAGUCUCAAACACAGCCCCAGUUCUCACCUCCAGCCUGCUCCUGGGGCUGCUGCCACAUUCCUGACAAGGAGCCCCUGUGGACAGGGCUCUCUCUGUGUCUCAGGUGCUGGGCACUGCAGGGACCAGGGCAGCCCCCUCUGGGGACAAUUGGGGAUUCAUCCCACACCACAGGCAGGACCAGGGGCCCUCCAGUACAGGCUGGUGGGGCCAGAGCCCAUUGGGUUUGGCUGCUCAAAUACCAAAGCUUUUGGCAAAGAUGGGACAAGUUAAGUGGGUUUUCCUGUCCUGAGAGAGAGAAGAAAUUGUUGAAAUUAAGCAUGGAAAUUAAGUCCACUGUGGAAGUCAAAGGCUCCUGGCUUUCCCACUCCUGUUCUGAUUGCUCACUAGAGGGUUUU